GGGCGGUUACCGUCGGACUGCCGGAGAAGGCGCCUGAGAGAUAGCGACUAUGUCCACGGGCAGCAGCAGGCGCGAAACUUUCCCACUCGAGACUCUCGGAGGAGGUAAUGACCAGUUCCAUUAUUGGCCAUAUGGCUAUAAUGGGUAGGACGCCGCCUUUCCAGCGGCGUGAAAUCUAGCAGAGGGCCAGUCUGGUGCCAGCAGCUGCGGUAAUUCCAGCUCUGCAAGUUUGCUCCCAUAUUGUUGCAGUUAAAACGCCCGUAGUCUGAAUUUGCUUUUACAAGCGGUAUUCCUUAUAGGAGUUCACUGUGAACAAAUCAGGACGCUUAGCGUAUUUCAUUGAAUGAAUGACUCAGCGCAGUAUGAAAUAUUUACCACAAGGUAAGAUCAAAGAGAGCCAUCGGGGGUAAAUCUAUUCCAUGGCGAGCGGUGGAAUGCUCUGACCCAUGUGGAGAGAAACGAAAGCGAAGGCAUUUACCUAGAGGGUUUCUGUCGAUCAAGGGCGAGAGUAGGAGUAUCCAACCGGAUCAGAGACCCGGGUAGUUCCUACCUUAAACGAUGCCGACAGGGGCUUGUCUUUCAACAAAGGCAGGACCUUAGGAGAAAUCAGUAGUUCAUGGGCUCUGGGGGAACUACGACCACAAGGCUGAAACUUGAAGGAAUUGACGGAAGGGCACACCAGGGGUGGAGCCUGUGGCUUAAUUUGAAUCAACACGGGGAAACUUACCAGAACCAGAUGUUUUUAGUGACUGACAGGCUAGGGGUCUUUCAGGAUAUGACUUUUGGUGGUGCAUGGCCGUUGGUGGUGCGUGGGUUGACCUGUCUAGCGUUGAUUCAGCUAACGAGCGAGAUUAUCGCCAAUUACUUAGGUUGCUGCAAUUCUUUGCAUGUAACUCUUCUAAUUGGGACUCCCUGCGAUUAAGCAGGAGGAAGAGGGUAGCAAUAACAGGUCCGUGAUGUCCUUUAGAUGCUCUGGGCUGCACGCGUGCUACAAUGUUAGUCACAAAGGGAAGCUCAGCUGAUAGGCUCAGCUACUCCCAGAAUGUCUAACGUAGUUGGGAUUGAUGAUUGUAAUCAUCAUC
rnacentral:rRNA from 1 species